CUAUGGAGUUCAUGUGACCAAAAGUCACAAAUUCCUGGUCGAUUAUAAAGCGUAAGCUUUAUAACACCGAGUUCUUAAAAUUUACACUGUUUAGCUUUCAGAGCCUAUUUUUAGGUUCUGGUACGAUGGGGGUAUAGCUCAGAUGGGAGAGCACCUGCCUUGCAAGCAGGGGGUCAAGAGUUCGAUUCUCUUUACCUCCACCACGGAUCUUUAAGAUCCAUUGCACCUUGAAAAAUAUAUAAUAUAAGUAAAGCAAGAUGAGAAACAAUUUUUUUUAAAAGGGUAACUGUAUAUAGAGAUGUAUACAAUAACACUUAGGAAAAACUCAUUUUGAUGGAAAAGACAAUCACUUUAUUUUAAAAAUGAGAACUAAAAGGAAAUCGUUUUUUUGUUAGCGCAGAAGAACGUGGCCUUUUACAAAAGUGUAUUUUUGUUAAAGUAAAAAAAUGUUCGAUAUUUUCCUAGCGAAAAAAUCGUUACACAUUUUGCUAAAGCAAAAGUGCUA
rnacentral:tRNA from 1 species